CCUACGUGAGGCAGCAGUGAGGAAUAUUGGUCAAUGGGCGAGAGCCUGAUCCAGCCAAGUCGCGUGAGGGAGUACUGCCCUAUGGGUUGUAAACCUCUUUUGUCGGGGAGCAAAAGCCGGACGUGUCCGGCUGUGCGAGUACCCGAAGAAAAAGCAUCGGCUAACUCCGUGCCAGCAGCCGCGGUAAUACGGAGGAUGCGAGCGUUAUCCGGAUUGAUUGGGUUUAAAGGGUGCGCAGGCGGAUGUUUAAGUCAGCGGUCAAAUCGUGGGGCUCAACCCCAUCCAGCCGUUGAAACUGGGGAUCUAGAGUGUGCGAGAGGUAUGCGGAAUGCGUGGUGUAGCGGUGAAAUGCAUAGAUAGCACGCAGAACCCCGAUUGCGAAGGCAGCAUACCGGUGCACAACUGACGCUCAGGCACGAAAGCGUGGGUAUCGAACAGGAGUAGAUACCCUUGUAGUC
rnacentral:rRNA from 1 species